AAACAUGGCGGUUUGAUUAUUAAUUUAACGUCUGACCUGCCCACUGAUAUUGAAGGGCCGCAGUAUUUUGACUGUGCAAAGGUAGCAUAAUCAUUAGAUUCUUGAUUAGAAUCUGGUAUGAAAGGUUUAACGAAAUAUUAACUGUCUCUGUUUGAUGUAUUUAAUUUAACUUUUUAGUAAAAAGGCUAAUAUUUAAAUGAGGGACGAGAAGACCCUAUAGAGCUUGAUAGUUGUUUUAUGGCAUUUAGAUAGUUUUUGAAUAAUUGUUGUUAUGAUAACUGUUUUACUGGGGCGGUACUAAGAUAAAUUUAACUCUUGUUUUGUUAAUAAAGAUAGUUAGAUAAUUGAAUCAUUCUAAUUGAUUUUAGAUAAAGUUACCUUAGGGAUAACAGCGUAAUUUAUUUGGAGAGUCCUUAUUGAUAAAUAUGUUUGCGACCUCGAUGUUGAAUUAAGAAUUCAGGGGGAUGGAGCAGUUUCCGUUGAGAGUCUGUUCGACUCUAAAAUUCUUACGUGAUCUGAG
rnacentral:rRNA from 1 species